rnacentral:rRNA from 1 species
UGGGGAAUAUUGGACAAUGGGGGCAACCCUGAUCCAGCAAUGCCGCGUGUGUGAAGAAGGUCUUCGGAUUGUAAAGCACUUUCGACGGGGACGAUGAUGACGGUACCCGUAGAAGAAGCCCCGGCUAACUUCGUGCCAGCAGCCGCGGUAAUACGAAGGGGGCUAGCGUUGCUCGGAAUGACUGGGCGUAAAGGGCGUGUAGGCGGUUUACACAGUCAGAUGUGAAAUCCCCGGGCUUAACCUGGGAGCUGCAUUUGAUACGUGUAGACUAGAGUGUGAGAGAGGGUUGUGGAAUUCCCAGUGUAGAGGUGAAAUUCGUAGAUAUUGGGAAGAACACCGGUGGCGAAGGCGGCAACCUGGCUCAUGACUGACGCUGAGGCGCGAAAGCGUGGGGAGCAAACAGGAUUAGAUACCCUGGUAGUCCACGCCGUAAACGAUGUGUGCUAGAUGUUGGGUAACUUUGUUAUUCAGUGUCGCAGUUAACGCGUUAAGCACACCGCCUGGGGAGUACGGCCGCAAGGUUGAAACUCUAAAGUG